ACUAAGCGUACACGGUGGAUGCCUUGGCAGUCAGAGGCGAUGAAAGACGUAGUAACUUGCGAUAAGCCCAGAUUAGGUAGUAACAACCAUUUGAGUCUGGGAUUUCUGAAUGGGGAAACCCACGUGCAUAAGCACGUAUCCUUACCUGAAUACAUAGGGUAAGGAGGCGAACCGGGGGAACUGAAACAUCUAAGUACCCCGAGGAAAAGAAAUCAACCGAGAUUCCGAAAGUAGCGGCGAGCGAAAUUGGACUAGCCCUUAAGCUUUACACGCGUUAGACGAACGGUCUGGAAAGUCCGACGAUACAGGGUGAUAGUCCCGUAGUUGACGACGUGUGUUCAGUGAAAUCGAGUAGGGCGGGACACGUGAUAUCCUGUCUGAAUAUGGGGGGACCAUCCUCCAAGGCUAAAUACUACUGACUGACCGAUAGUGAACCAGUACCGUGAGGGAAAGGCGAAAAGAACCCCUGUGAGGGGAGUGAAAUAGAACCUGAAACCGUGUACGUACAAGCAGUAGGAGCACCUUCGUGGUGUGACUGCGUACCUUUUGUAUAAUGGGUCAGCGACUUAUAUUCAGUGGCAAGGUUAACCAUCUAGGGGAGCCGUAGGGAAACCGAGUCUUAACUGGGCGUUCAGUCUCUGGAUAUAGACCCGAAACCAGGUGAUCUAGCCAUGGGCAGGUUGAAGGUUGAGUAACAUCAACUGGAGGACCGAACCGACUAAUGUUGAAAAAUUAGCGGAUGACUUGUGGCUAGGGGUGAAAGGCCAAUCAAACCUGGAGAUAGCUGGUUCUCCCCGAAAGCUAUUUAGGUAGCGCCUCGGACGAAUACUACUGGGGGUAGAGCACUGUUAAGGCUAGGGGGUCAUCCCGACUUACCAACCCUUUGCAAACUCCGAAUACCAGUAAGUACUAUCCGGGAGACACACGGCGGGUGCUAACGUCCGUCGUGGAGAGGGAAACAACCCAGACCGCCAGCUAAGGUCCCAAAUUACUACUAAGUGGGAAACGAUGUGGGAAGGCUCAGACAGCCAGGAUGUUGGCUUAGAAGCAGCCAUCAUUUAAAGAAAGCGUAAUAGCUCACUGGUCGAGUCGGCCUGCGCGGAAGAUGUAACGGGGCUAAGUAGUAAACCGAAGCUGCGGCAAUAUACUUUUGUAUAUUGGGUAGGGGAGCGUUCUGUAAGCGGUUGAAGGUGUGUGGUAACGCAUGCUGGACGUAUCAGAAGUGCGAAUGCUGACAUGAGUAACGAUAAAGGGGGUGAAAAACCUCCUCGCCGGAAGACCAAGGGUUCCUGUCCAACGUUAAUCGGGGCAGGGUAAGUCGACCCCUAAGGCGAGGCCGAAAGGCGUAGUCGAUGGGAAACGGGUUAAUAUUCCCGUACUUCUUACAAUUGCGAUGGGGGGACGGAGAAGGCUAGGUGGGCCUGGCGACGGUUGUCCAGGUUCAAGUGCGUAGGCUUAAGAGUUAGGUAAAUCCGGCUCUUUCUAAGGCUGAGACACGACGUCGAGCACCUACGGGUGUGAAGUCAUUGAUGCCAUGCUUCCAGGAAAAGCCUCUAAGCUUCAGAUUGUAAGGAAUCGUACCCCAAACCGACACAGGUGGUCGGGUAGAGAAUACCAAGGCGCUUGAGAGAACUCGGGUGAAGGAACUAGGCAAAAUGGUACCGUAACUUCGGGAGAAGGUACGCUCUCGACGGUGAAGUCCCUCGCGGAUGGAGCUAUUGAGAGUCGCAGAUACCAGGUGGCUGCAACUGUUUAUUAAAAACACAGCACUGUGCAAAAUCGUAAGAUGACGUAUACGGUGUGACGCCUGCCCGGUGCCGGAAGGUUAAUUGAUGGGGUUAGACUUCGGUCGAAGCUCUUGAUCGAAGCCCCGGUAAACGGCGGCCGUAACUAUAACGGUCCUAAGGUAGCGAAAUUCCUUGUCGGGUAAGUUCCGACCUGCACGAAUGGCGUAAUGAUGGCCACGCUGUCUCCACCCGAGACUCAGUGAAAUUGAAAUCGCUGUGAAGAUGCAGUGUACCCGCGGCUAGACGGAAAGACCCCGUGAACCUUUACUACAGCUUGGCACUGAACAUUGACCCUACAUGUGUAGGAUAGGUGGGAGGCUUUGAAGCACGUACGCCAGUAUGUGUGGAGCCGUCCUUGAAAUACCACCCUUGUAGUGUUGAUGUUCUAACGUCGACCCCUAAUCGGGGUUGCGGACAGUGCCUGGUGGGUAGUUUGACUGGGGCGGUCUCCUCCCAAAGAGUAACGGAGGAGCACGAAGGUGGGCUAAUCACGGUUGGACAUCGUGAGGUUAGUGCAAUGGCAUAAGCCCGCUUGACUGCGAGAAUGACAAUUCGAGCAGGUGCGAAAGCAGGUCAUAGUGAUCCGGUGGUUCUGAAUGGAAGGGCCAUCGCUCAACGGAUAAAAGGUACUCCGGGGAUAACAGGCUGAUACCGCCCAAGAGUUCAUAUCGACGGCGGUGUUUGGCACCUCGAUGUCGGCUCAUCACAUCCUGGGGCUGAAGUCGGUCCCAAGGGUAUGGCUGUUCGCCAUUUAAAGUGGUACGCGAGCUGGGUUUAGAACGUCGUGAGACAGUUCGGUCCCUAUCUGCCGUGGGCGUUGGAAGAUUGAAGGGGGCUGCUCCUAGUACGAGAGGACCGGAGUGGACGAACCUCUGGUGUUCGGGUUGUGUCGCCAGACGCAUUGCCCGGUAGCUAAGUUCGGAAUCGAUAACCGCUGAAAGCAUCUAAGCGGGAAGCGAGCCCUGAGAUGAGUCUUCCCUGAUACUUUAAGUAUCCUAAAGGGUUGUCGGAGACUACGACGUUGAUAGGUCAGGUGUGUAAGUGCUGUGAGGCAUUGAGCUAACUGAUACUAAUUGCCCGUGAGGCUUAACC
rnacentral:rRNA from 1 species